rnacentral:piRNA from 1 species
UGGAUGACUCCCGGCCAACGGCCCUAAAGU